rnacentral:ncRNA from 1 species
AAUGAGUUUUAUUCUUGCUUAUUUAUUUGCUUUUAAAUUAUUUUAUAUGUAAGUUUUUGCAUUAUUUAGGUAAUAUAAUAUUUAAUCUAAAUGAUUUUAUUAGCUAGAAUUUUUUAUUUUCGCAGUAAUAAGUUUUAUUAAUUUAUGUAAAUUUGAUUUGGUAAUUUUGAUUUAUUGUUGGUAAAAUUUGUGCCAGCAUCCGCGGUUAUACAAUAAAUAUGAGUGAAUAUUUUUGGUUAAAUUAGUUAAAAGUUUAUUUUUGAGGUUAUUAUUUUGUUUAUUUGGGUGAAAUUUUAAUAUUUAUUAUAACUUUUUUAUUUUGAUGCUAUGAAAUCUUUUAUUUUAAACUAGGAUUAGAUACCCUAUUAUUUUGGAUUUAAAUUAUUAUUAACCUAGGUAGUAUAAGUUAUGGUCUUGAAACCUAAAGAAUUUGGCGGUAUUUUAGUCUUUUUAGAGGAAUCUGUUCCUUAAUCGAUAGUCCGCGUUGAACCUUACCAAGUUAUUGUAUGUAUACCGCCGUUAUAAUGGAAAUCUUUUUAGGGUUUAUAUAAUUUUCUUGAUUUAUUAUAAUAUAUUAUUUCAGGUCAAGGUGCAGUUUAUUAUUUGGUGGAGAUGGAUUACAUUUAAAUUUGUUAUUGGAUUAAUUUGUUGAAAUUUUAUUAUGAAAUUGGAUUUAAUUGUAAUUUUUUGUAGAUUGUAAUGAUGAUUUUAGCUCUAGAAUAUGUACACAUCGCCCGUCACUCUCAUUUUUAGUUGAGAUAAGUCGUAACAUAGUGGCUGUACCGGAAGGUGUAGCUAGAAUGAG